AAUAUUACGGUUACAUUUAUUAUCCUAUUUCCUAUGUGUUUGUCUAUGUAGCUGCAAUUUCAAUUCCCGUCCACUAGGUGGCAGUAGAAACACUGUUAGGAAGAGAGAUACGUAGAGUAAGAGCACUGGUUGCUAUGGAGACAGAGCGAGAUACCAAUGAAAAGAAACGAUUGUACUGAAGAACAGUUGUGAGAGAAAGAAAUUACAAGUUAAUUUAUUUACUUUAUUUUCAUAAUUCAGUUGAAGAAAAUUCUUUUGUUUAAGUUGUGAUCCCUUUAAGAAGCAAGAAUCGUAUGAGAGAAGAUCCGGACUGCUCUGGUUAUCUUUUAUUUCUUUCCCUUGCUCCGGUUGGUUUUUUUAAGAGCUUGAUUCCAACGAACUUUCGCCGAACUUCCCUGGGUGCACGCGCGGCCAGUAGUGACUGAGAAGAGGAGCGUCUGGCCACUCGUCUCCUACAGCCGCGUUUCGUUCUGCAUCCAGAGGCUCCAGAGAUAAGGAGAUCCAUUACACACACCCGCACGUGGGACACAUAAACAGAACAUAUACUACCCGGGUAGAUGGACACUUUUGGACUUGAGCAUUAUUUAUUUAUUUGAUUAUUUUAUUUUAUUUCUUUAAUUCAGAGCUCUGAGGGUUUUUCUUUUCUACUUUCUUAUUUAUUCCUAUUUCCUAUUUUUUUUCUAUUUCUUUUCUCUUCCUCUUUGAAAAGGACUAUUUUAAGAGUCUAUCCAGACAGAGAGGUUACAUUUGAGUGUUUUUUUUAUGAAUAAAUACCGGCAAUGUUUUUCAAACUUUA